rnacentral:rRNA from 1 species
AGUGAACGCUGGCGGUAGGCCUAACACAUGCAAGUCGAACGAGUGGCGGAAGGGUGAGAAAUACAUGGGAAUCUACUCUGUCGUGGGGGAUAACGUAGGGAAACUUACGCUAAUACCGCAUAGGAAUGAAUGCGCCGAUGUCGGAUUAGCUAGUUGGCGGGGUAAAGGCCCACCAAGGCGACGAUGCGGCGCGGGUCUGAGAGGAUGAGGAGCCCCACUGGAACUGAUACACGGACCAGACUCCUACGGGAGGCAGCAGUGGGCAAUAUUGGACAAUGGGCGCAAGCCUGAUCCAGCCAUACCGCGUGGGUGAAGAAGGCCUUCGGGUUGUAAAGCCCUUUUGUUGGGAAAGCGGUACCCGAAGAAGAAGCACCGGCUAACUUCGUGCCAGCCGCCGCGGUAAUAC